UUAACUGGAAAAUCCUCAUCUGAUUGGAAGAGUAAAAUUGUUCAUCAUCCCAGACAAAGUGAUGGCCACAACUGCGGACCACUCAUCUUAAAGUUUGCAGAAGCAUAUUUGGAGCACAAAGACAUAAGUAUGGUAGAAACAACACAAGAGGCUAAUAUUGCGUUUAGAAGACAUAUAGCAAUUCUUCUAAUGAAGGAGUCAGAAAACGUGGAAGACUACUGCAUAUACUGCAACCUCGUCAACUGUGAAAAGGAAAGUGAGGAUUGCACGAUGGUACAGUGUGAUUCUUGCAAGAGAUGGGCACAUAUGCCCUGCAUUACAGAAGGAUCCAAUCAAGACUACCUGACUGAUGCCAAGAAAGAGUACAACUGCAAGAAAUGUGCAUAGUUCACUUCUUU